rnacentral:rRNA from 1 species
UACGUAGGGUGCAAGCGUUAAUCGGAAUUACUGGGCGUAAAGCGUGCGCAGGCGGUUCUAUAAGACAGGUGUGAAAUCCCCGGGCUCAACCUGGGAACUGCAUUUGUGACUGUAGAGCUGGAGUACGGCAGAGGGGGAUGGAAUUCCGCGUGUAGCAGUGAAAUGCGUAGAUAUGCGGAGGAACACCGAUGGCGAAGGCGAUCCCCUGGGCCUGUACUGACGCUCAUGCACGAAAGCGUGGGGAGCAAACAGG